GGAUUUGAGGCGUGUGUGUGAGUGUGAGGAUUAGUAAAGAAGCUCUCCCACUUUGACUGCUCUGCUGAUGUCGAGGGGAGAGUUUGUGAUCCGCCAGAAAAGCCGGUUGAUCUUCCUCCCUCUAUAUGAGUCAAGUGAGAAGAAAGAAAAAGAAGAAGAAACAAGAAAAAGAAGAAAAGAAAGAAAGAGAAAAAGAUCUUUGUUUUCCGCGAGGAAAUAGUCGGUUUUUUUAUUAAUAUAUCUAACAUCGAAUUGCCUCCUGUUCUCUUCUCGCCUCCUUCAGAUUGAUGAUCCUCUUUUUGACAGAUUAGUGUUUCAUCCUUAGUCUAACAUCAUGAGUGACAAACGUCCGGAGCAGAGUAUAGCUUCGGCUCGGGCUUCCGUCAUGGUCUACGAUGAUCUCAACAAGAAGUGGGUUCCUUCCGGCGGAUCGCAUGGUCUUUCCAAAGUUCAUAUUUACCAUCAUUCCAUUAAUAAUACCUUUAGAGUCGUUGGAAGGAAACUUCACGAUCAUGAGGUUGUGAUUAAUUGUGCUAUAUUGAAGGCUCUGAAGUAUAAUCAAGCCACUCCUACUUUCCAUCAGUGGAGAGAUAAUAAACAAGUCUAUGGAUUAAAUUUCUCGAGUAAAGAUGACGCAGAAAUAUUUGCAUCUGCUAUGUUAAGAUCAUUAGAGGUUCUUAACUCUGGAGUGCAAUUGGCCUUGAGACCCGUACCUAUGGCUCCUCCACAACCACCGAAUAAUCGUGUUGUACAACAACAACAACAACAAAAUGUUUAUCAACAACCCAAUCAAAAUGAUGUUUACGAUAUAUAUGAAGAAUAUGGAUCUCACCCACCGAGCUCAUCGUCUCAUUACGGUGGCAGUGAUGGAGGCUAUGAAACGCAUUCAAAUUUGAUUGAACAAGAAAGACGUCUGAGUCUUCAACAGCAAACGCAAAUUGAAAAUGAACGACGGAUGAGCCUACAACAACAACAGCAACAGCAGCAAAUACAUACGGUCCAUUCCAGUCCUAAUAUGGCGCAACCGCCAAGUACUAUUGGAUCUCCCAGUCAACCUUCUCCUGGUCAUAAUAGAACAUCGUCCGCUCCUCCACCACCACCUAUGCCUUCAAAUUUUGGAGGUCAGCAGCAUCAGCUUCCACCUCAACAGCAACCACAACCACAGCAAAUACUACAACAACAGUUAAUACAACAAACACCACCACCACCACCACAAUUACAACAACAACAAUUAAUACAAGCUCCGCAAGCACCCCCGUUACCACAACAGAUUUAUAAUACUCCUCCUGCUCCACCAGCUCCACCUCCGGCUCCUCCUGCUCCACCUGUCCCACCGCCACCACCUCCUAUGGUAAGUAGUGGAGCACCUCCUCCUCCUCCACUACCACCUGUUGGUCAUUUAGGACCACCAGAACCGAUUGGAGGCCUUGCUGCUGCCCUACAAGCAGCUAAGUUAAGGAAAACAUCUUCCAACAAACUAAUUGAAAAUUCCCCUGGAAGCACAACUAGUAGUUCAGGGAACUCUUCAGGCUACGGCACUAUAGGUAGGGCUGCGGGUAGUAGUAGUAAUAGUGGUGGCGGCGGCAUGGCUUCUAUGAUGGAUGAAAUGCAAAAAACUCUUGCCAGAAGAAGGGCCAAAGUUGAUAAAGCUGAAGAUGACAAUGAUUCAGGUAAUGAUUCUCGUAGAUCCAUGGAGAAGGGCUCUUCUCCAACUGGUAAGUCUUCUAACGGUUCAGAGUCUCCCAAGCCUGGAAGAAGGCGAUUUGGUUCAUCGAAUGAGGAUGACUCUAAUCCUAAAGUAAAUGGUGUUUCACAAUUAGCAGGAGGUUCUUCCGGGGAAAAUAUAAGCAAUUCAGAGUUGGAUGCAUUAAAGCAAGAAAUUUUACGUGAAAUGAAAAAAGAAAUGAAUAUAAUGAAGCAAGAAAUCAUUGAAGUGAUUCGUUCUGAAAUGAAACGGUAAAGUUCUGCCCACUACCUUACUCACAUUUUGCAGGAUUUUUUUUUGCGUCACUCUCACUGGAAGAGAUUGUGUGAUCUGCUCAUCAUUAUUUCUUUUUGUGUAAAUUCACAUGAAAAACUGUCAUUCCAAUAAGAACGUAUUAUUUGUGCAUGAAGAUCGGUUUAUAAUCAAUAUUUCUUAUGUCGUUAACUGGAUAUCUUUCAACAUACCUUAAAAGUUCAAGUAUUGUGGAGUCGGACGUACUAACUAGGUGUGUAUUAUAUAUUGACUUUUUUUUAAAAGAAGACUAUCACGAUGUCGUUUCCAGUUGAAUUUGAUGUUUGGAAAGUACAUAUAAUUAUUAUUGUGCUAAGAUACAUAAUAUGUCAUAUCUACUUUUUUUGUAUUAAAAAAAUCUUUAUUAUUGUACAGACCAGAUUAAAAAAAUUAUCAUAAAACAUUGUUGAAUGAAUUAUAAAUCUCUCAAUUGUAAUUAACCCUCCGAUAAUUAUUGUGUUUUUACUACUAAAUCAAUCUUUUUAGAAGUGGGUACUCUGAAUUUAUAUUAUUACAUAUACAUAAUACUAAUUAAAGAGAUGAUCUUUUUAGUAACUGGGAUUUAUAUCAUUAGUUAUUUGAUAAAUAGAUACUCUAUACUAAA
rnacentral:misc_RNA from 1 species